UACAGAGGUCCCAAGCGUUGUUCGGAUUCACUGGGCGUAAAGGGUGCGUAGGCGGUUUGAUAAGUCUGAUGUGAAAUCCCGCAGCUUAACUGCGGAACUGCUUUGGAAACUGUUUGACUAGAGGAAUGGAGGGGAGACUGGAAUACUUGGUGUAGCGGUGAAAUGCGUAGAUAUCAAGUGGAACACCAGUGGCGAAGGCGGGUCUCUGGACAUUACCUGACGCUGAGGCACGAAAGCGAGGGGAGCAAACGGG
rnacentral:rRNA from 1 species